rnacentral:lncRNA from 1 species
CUUUGGUAGGCUCUCUAAAACCACAGAUAUUCAUAGAAUGAGAAUUUUUAGAGCUAGAAGGAAAUUGGAGCUUCCAAUUUGUCACCGAGGGCAGGACGGCAAGUUGCUAAGGAAACCUGAGAAUCCGGUGUUUGUACCACUAAGUCAAGAUUGCUCUCUCUGUGCAUCUGAAGGAAUCAAUUACCAAGACUUUGUCUCCAUUGCCACUAUUGAGGUGCCAUGUGUCCCAAACUGGACAACCCCCAGUCUGCUUUGCUCCUUCUGGAUGGCCCAACGUUGCCCUCACCACCCACACUGGAAGCCUGAGAAGCCAUCCUGUACUGCCCUCUCCUGUGCUCUCUAUUUUCAUUCAUGAGGCCCUAAACAUUUCCCAAACUUGCCCCCUCUCUGGUCCACCCCCACUAAAUACAGGCUCCAUGUGUUUGUUUGGUUCACUUGCAGUGUUCUAGCGCCUACAGUAGAGCCUGCCCUGAAACAAGUGCUCAAAAAUCUUUGCUCAAUGAAUGAAUCCCACUAACACCCGAGUGCAGAGCAUGCACUAUUUCUG